CACGUAGGGUGCGAGCGUUUUGUCCGGAAUUAUUGGGCGUAAAGAGCUCGUAGGCGGUGUGUCGCGUCGGCCGUUGAAAACUUGGGGGCUUAACUCUGAGCGUGCGGUCGAUACGGGGCAUCACUUUGAGUUCGGCAGGGGGAGACUGGAAUUCCUGGUGUAGCGGUGAAAUGCGCAGAUAUCAGGAGGAACACCGGUGGGCGAAGGCGGUUCUCUGGGCAUUUACCUGACGGUGAGGAGCGAAAAGUGUGGGGGAGCGAACAGG
rnacentral:rRNA from 1 species